ensembl:snoRNA SNORA74 Small nucleolar RNA SNORA74
UCCAGUGGUAGUCAGCUAUCCAGUGCUUGUUUGUGCAUGAGAUUGUGUUACACCACUGGAAGAGAAAAGCACUGCUGUAGCCAUUGCAGUUUCUGUACUGGUGCUGUAAUGCGUGUCAGUAGUGCUGUCCUUCCUGAAAGGGCCUUAACCUGCAAACGUGGUUUUCUGGCACUAGUCUGGAUCUACACAUG